AGGACGAGAGCCGCUCAGGCUAGCCAAGGAGACUGCCUGCGAGACCACACGCAGCAGAAGAGCCUCCUGCAGCUGGAGGCCACAGGCAAGUCAUCCUUGGCUACCAGAGCAGAGCUCUCACCG
rfam:Dichanthelium oligosanthes cultivar Kellogg 1175 unplaced genomic scaffold Do_version_2_scaffold527, whole genome shotgun sequence.